AGCUUUGCUCAGUGGCAGUAUCAUAACCAAUGAGGUUUAUCAGAGGCACAAUUAUUGCUAAUUGAAAACUAAAAAAUAUCACAUUAAUCUGCAUUAUUGACAUUUUCUCCAUUAUUUUCUUAAGU
ensembl:snRNA U4 U4 spliceosomal RNA